rnacentral:rRNA from 1 species
GAUGAACGCUGACAGAAUGCUUAACACAUGCAAGCCUACUUGAUUCUACUUCGGUAGUUGAUGGUGGCGGACGGGUGAGUAACGCGUAAAGAAUCUGCCCUUUAGUUUGGGAUAACCUUUGGAAACGAAGGCUAAUACCGGAUAUUAUGGAGACGUCGCAUGGCGACUCCAUGAAAGCUAUAUGCGCUAGAGGAGGACUUUGCGUCCCAUUAGUUAGUCGGUGAGGUAAUGGCUCACCAAGACCGCGAUGGGUAGCCGGCCUGAGAGGGUGAUCGGCCACAAGGAAACUGAGACACGGUCCUUACUCCUACGGGAGGCAGCAGUGGGGAAUAUUGGACAAUGGGCCACAAGCCUGAUCCAGCAAUUCUGUGUGCACGAUGAAGGUCUUCGGAUUGUAAAGCGCUUUCAGUAGGGAAGAAAAAAAUGACGGUACCUACAGAAGAAGCGACGGCUAAAUAUGUGCCAGCAGCCGCCGUAACAC